CACCGAUGUUCAAUGUUACUAGGAUAUAGAAAUGAUACGAUGCGUCACUCGGCGGUAAAAUCUAACGAUUCAACGCAGUACGUGUAGGUAUAAUUGAAUGAUUCAAGUGAUUUGUGCAAAUCGAUAAAAAUCGCAAAAAUAAAUUGGCUGUAGGCAGCGUUCGGAAAGCUGAAGGACCGGUUCUGGUUCCAGAUGAUGAGAUCAGAAAGAGAAGUAUCAAGCAUUCCUGAGGCAAGUGGAGUCAUAUAACGCGUGUCUUCCAAAAUCGGCUAGAUCCAUCAUAUUAUCAACUCUAUUAGGGGUCAGAAGAACUUUUUUAACAAUAAAGUCACACGGUGUAACGCGGAAAAGAUAUACAGGUAUACAUGAAUUGUAACUUACGAAUUGUGGAGUGCGUAUAUUGAGACGCGCGAUCGCAGCUGUUGUAUAUGAAAGCAGUUGAGUUACGUGGAUGGAAUAAACUCGUCCGCGUCUUUUCUCUGGUAAAUCCGGAUAAUGAUUGUUUCUCUGUCUUCAUCACAUAAUCGUUCACGCAUUGCUGACCAUAACGUCACGAUUUGGGUAUAUUAACAUUACGUUUUUGUUCGACUGUUGUACGUGUCCCCACAAAUUCAUGAGUUACUUUCCAUCACUAAUUACGCCGCACAGAUUUGGAAUCAUUUUCAAAA